CACCAGGAGAACAGAAAUCGGAAGAGAUAAAUCGAACUGAAGUAAGUUCCGGAUUCAAAGGCUGAAUUCUAGAUGUUGGGAGAACAUGACUUGGCAAGAGGCAACGCUAUUCCGUUAGAGAAAUUGUGCUGAAAAGUUUCCAGUGCCAAGUUUUUUCCGUGCAGCUGAGAAUAGAAAGAAUCGACGCGAUGGCCGCCCGUAUUGGAUCACGCUAAAAAUUUAGACUGGCGUUUCAACGAUUUAAGGAGAAGGAAAUUCGUGUGUUUGGUCUCAGCAACGUUCAUUCAAUCCGGAUCUGUUUACUCCGCGAAAGUUGCUGGAGUCUGCAAAAAUACAGCAGCAGGAGCGGUGAUAGAAAAGUGACAUGGAGGUCGAUGUGCCUACGGACAAUACAAAUGAGCAGACGCCGAUGGAGAUCGACGAAGACACCUCCGAGAGGAAUCCGAAGGUGUCCGGAAGCGUCAAGGUUAUGGCGUCUUCGGGCACCGUCGGUUCUGUGUCCAUCAGUUUGCAUCCACUGGUAAUCAUGAACGUUAGUGAGCACUGGACCAGACUCAGAGCUCAAGAGGGCAGUGAUCAAUUGGUGUAUGGUGCUCUGAUUGGUAAACAGAAGGGUCGUAAUAUAGAGAUUAUGAAUUCUUUUGAAUUAUUGUUUACAUGCAUUGGCGAUGAUGUUAUAAUCGAUAGGGAUUAUUAUAAUACAAAGGAAGAACAAUUUAAGCUAGUUUUUAGUGAAAUGGAUUUUUUGGGCUGGUAUACCACUGGUGAUAUGCCUAAUGAGAGAGAUAUUAGAGUUCACAAACAGCUUUGUGAAAUAAAUGAAAGUCCUGUAUUGUUAAAACUAGAUCCAAGACCGAAAAAUACAGAGCAUUUAUCUGUCUCCAUGUAUGAAUCAGUAAUUGAUUUAGUUAACGGCGAAGCUACCAUGUUAUUUGUCCCAUUAACUUAUACACUAGCCACAGAAGAAGCUGAAAGGAUUGGUGUUGAUCAUGUACAAAGAAUGUGUAAUAACGAACAAGGAGAAUGUUCAGUAGUGGCAGAACACUUAACGGCUCAACACAGUGCCAUUAAAAUGUUGCAUGCAAGAGUAAAACUUGUUCUAAGAUAUGUGCAAGCAGUAGAGAGUGGGGAAUUGAAAGGAAAUCAUGAAGUUCUUCGAGCAGCUUGUUCUCUGAGUCAUCGAUUGCCUGUCUUAAAUAAUCCGAAAUUUAAGGCUGACUUUUAUAACCAAUGUAAUGAUUUUGGCUUGAUGACGUAUCUUGGCAUUAUAACUAAAGGUUGUAAUAAUAUAAAUCAGUUUGUAAACAAAUUCAACAUUCUGUACGACAGACAAGGCGUGGGGCGACGUCUACGAAGUCUCUUUUUCUGAUAUGCCAAAUUAUCUACUUUUUAUCGAGUUUAUGAUUUCAGCGAUAUAUGUGUACAUGCUCUCAAGCUGUCCUCGAUCAUAGUAGCCAGCACGUCCACUAGAACGGACAGCAUUGAAUCGGGCUAAGGACUCGGUUUGUCCAUACCAAUAAUUUCCUCGAAGAGAUUAUUUCUUCCUUCCGUCUGUUCUUCGAUCGUUUCUCCAGCAUACUUCAACGUCGCGGCGGCCAAAUCACCCACCGACCAACGUCUGUCCAUCAGAACUCUGCUUACGAUAAACUUGGAUUGCCAGAAGUAUAAUAGAUUAGUCUUGGUACUCCUGCCAAGGAAGAGGCGAGCCAUUGAAUUACGAGUUUUAAUUGCGGAUCGCCCUUCAACCUAGUCCCGCAUCCCCAGUUACCUGUAGCUAUGGGUAAUAAAUCCCCUCCUUGAGGACUAUUUUCCCGCGGGAAACUUCAUAUAUUUGCUAUUCCUUACUGAUUGUUGUCGUCGAUUUUUUUGUCGAGCGAGCUCUAAGCUGAGACUCCUCACGGCUAAGGCUAGCUUGUGUUGUUGGCUCACGUCGUUCGCAUCAAUGAACGGUUGCGGUUCGCCUUCUUGAAGGGGCACACCAGCGAACGAUUCACUCAAAGCACGUUUCAGAAGCGAACCGGCGAAUCGUACGACCGCCCGAUCCCUCGCAUCCAGUUCCCUGCUCUCAUCCGCCACUAUCGGAUCUUCCAGCCACUUUGACAAUUGCUCAUAAACCUCCUCCAAUUCGGAACAAAAAUCUACCUGCUGUAAACCGACAUUUGACCGAGCUGUCGCGUCACUGGCAAAACUUCUCCGCUGGAUCCUAACACGAUAAAUCUGUUUCU